UAAUAAGUGUUUUAUGGCACUUUUUAAAUCCAUAUCCACCUUGUGUGCAAUGUCGGUCGAUCUUCUUCCUGAGGAUCGACCAAACAUCAACCUUUAUUUUUAACUCUUUGUCUGAAAAUAUUAUGAAUAAACAAUUCAAAUA
rnacentral:misc_RNA from 1 species